AUAAUCGCGAGGUUAUGGGUGAAGGAAGCUGCAGACAAAAUCGCAGGCCAAAACGUAAGUGAACCCACCGGUGGCACUGUAUUAUUGACGACCCGCCCAGUGAACCCACCGGUGGCACUGUAUUAUUGACGACCCGCCCCGAUAACGGGGAAGUCCGUUGCAUCAUGCAGAUUAAAACAAGCAGGUGAAGCAUGAUGGGUGUAUGGUGUGUUUAGGGUUGGCAUGUGAUGAAAGUGGAUGGU
rfam:Candidatus Altiarchaeales archaeon WOR_SM1_86-2 WORSMTZ_10590, whole genome shotgun sequence.